rnacentral:ncRNA from 1 species
UCACUCAACAGAUAAAAGUUACUCUAGGGAUAACAGGUUGAUCUUCCCCAAGAGUUCACAUCGACGGGAAGGUUUGGCACCUCGAUGUCGGCUCUUCGCCACCUGGGGUGGUAGUACGUUCCAAGGGUUGGCAUGUUCUCCCAUUAAAGAGGUACAUGAGCUGGGUUUAGAACGUCGUGAGACAGUUCGGUUCAUAUCCGGUGCGGGCGUUAGAGCAUUGAGAGGACCUUUCCCUAGUACGAGAGGACUGGGAAGGAUGCACCUCUGGUGUACCAGUUAUCGUGCCCACGGUAGACUUUGGGUAGCCAAGUGCAGAGUGGAUAACUACUGAAAGCAUAUAAGUAGGAAGCCCACCCCAAGAUGAGUGCUCUCCUAUUCUUACUUCCCUGAGAUCCCUAGUCGCGAACAUGGUUGGGACAACGACGGGUUCUCUGUCCUUGCAGGGGAUGGAGGGACAAAAGUAUUGAGAAUCCAAGAUAAGGUAACAGUGAGACGAGUCGUUUAUCAUUACAAUAGGUGUCAAGUGGAAGUGCAGUGAUGUAUGCAUCUGAGGCAUCCUAACAGACCGAGAGAUUUGAACCU